rnacentral:rRNA from 1 species
UACGUAGGUGGCAAGCGUUGUCCGGAAUUAUUGGGCGUAAAGCGCGCGCAGGCGGUCCUUUAAGUCUGAUGUGAAAGCCCACGGCUCAACCGUGGAGGGUCAUUGGAAACUGGAGGACUUGAGUGCAGAAGAGAAGAGUGGAAUUCCACGUGUAGCGGUGAAAUGCGUAGAGAUGCGGAGGAACACCAGUGGCGAAGGCGACUCUUUGGUCUGUAACUGACGCUGAGGCGCGAAAGCGUGGGGAGCAAACAGG